AUGGCCUGGACUCUUCUCCUCUUCUUCCUCUUUCAUUGUACAGGGUCUUUCUCCCAGCUUAAUCUGACUCAGUCACCCUCAGCCUCUGCCUCCAUGGGAGCCUCGGCCAACCUCUCCUGCACCUUGAAUAGACAGCACAGCAGCUACAACAUUGGUUGGUACCAGCAACAUCCAGACAAGGCUCCUAAGUAUUUGAUGUAUCUUAAGAAUGAUGGAAGCCACAGCAAGGGGGAUGGGAUCCCUGACCGCUUCUCUGGCUCCAGCUCUGGGGCUGAUCGCUACUUGAGCAUCUCCAACAUCCAGCCUGAAGAUGAAGCUUACUAUUACUGUGCUGUAGGUGAUAGAACUGGAUGA